rnacentral:rRNA from 1 species
GUGGCUUCGGGGCUCGAGGUCUCUGGGUCCACCUCCCAUCCGUGUCUAUCUGUACCCUGUUGCUUCGGCGUGGCCACGGCCCGCCGAAGACUAACAUUUGAACACUGUCUGAAGUUUGCAGUCUGAGUUUUUAGUUAAACAAUAAUUAAAACUUUCAACAACGGAUCUCUUGGUUCCGGCAUCGAUGAAGAACGCAGCGAAAUGCGAUAAUUAAUGUGAAUUGCAGAAUUCAGUGAAUCAUCGAGUCUUUGAACGCACAUUGCGCCCCCUGGUAUUCCGGGGGGCAUGCCUGUCCGAGCGUCAUUGCUGCCCUCAAGCACGGCUUGUGUGUUGGGCUUCCGUCCCUGGUAACGGGGACGGGCCCAAAAGGCAGUGGCGGCACCAUGUCUGGUCCUCGAGCGUAUGGGGCUUUGUCACCCGCUCCCGUAGGUCCAGCUGGCAGCUAGCCUCGCAACCAAUCUUUUUAACCAGGUUGACCUCGGAUCAGGUAGGGAUACCCGCUGAACUUAAGCAUAUCAAUAAGCGGAGGAA